UACGGAAGGGGCAAGCGUUGUUCGGAAUCAUUGGGCGUAAAGGGGCGCGUAGGUGGUUCUGUAUGUCUACCGUGAAAGCGUACGGCUCAACUGUAUUUUGUCGGUAGAAACUGCAGGACUUGAGGCUGGGAGGGGCUGGUGGAAUUCCCUGUGUAGCGGUGAAAUGCGUAGAGAUGGGGGAGAACACUCGUGGCGAAGGCGGCCAGCUAGACCAGUUCUGACACUGAGGCGCGACAGCGUGGGGAGCAAACAGG
rnacentral:rRNA from 1 species